UUCUGUUUCAGGAAGUGCUCACAGAGCUGCCAGGGUGCUCCUACAGACCCCACAGCCUGUACAGAACAGCAGAGCUGAGCAGGUGCCAGUGUUGUGAACAAGCACCAGAGCUGAACAAGGAGCUGAAACCUGGCACCAGUGUGAUGUGACACGUCUACCACGAUUUCCUCCUUGGUUGAAGUGCUUCAUCGUACCUCUGCUGCACCAGUAAGAGCUGUGUGCUCCAACUGCUGGCCUCCAGCUGAGAGCGCCGUGCUUCCCUUCCCAAUGGAAAAGCAACAGAAGUGGCCAUUAAUACCGCCCAGUGAAGCAGAGCACAGCAUAGCAGGGUUUAAUGACACGCUUUGCUCCAGCGGAGGCAAUCCAUGAGGACAGAGCUACACAGACCUGUGCCCAGCACUGGCAUUUUGGCAUCACCGUAUGUCCUGCUCGCUUGAGUGGCAAUGCACAUGGAGCUCAAGUUACUUAUGCUUUGGAUUGCUGCCCUUUCGGUGAUAUAAAUGGAGUUGACUAUGCAGUACGGCAAUUUUUUCCUCUCAUAUAUAAUAUGACGCAUCUUUGCAAUAAUUACAGGUAAA
rnacentral:lncRNA from 1 species